AUCACUGUGUGUGAGACACCAUCCAAAAACUCCUAUGAACCUGUAGAAGUCUUCAAGUUCAUGUUUAAAAAGAAAGCAACGUCUCCAGAUGGUAGAUAAUCUAAGAUGUUACUCUUAGCUCUUUUACUAAUUACUGUACCACUUAAAGGAGAGUGCAACUCCUUUCUAGUGUAAGCAGAGGAAUAUGCAGAGUUGUUACAAUGAAUAUCUUGCUAUAUAUGUGGCUUGCUUCCUUUUUCAAGUACAUCAGGACUCCCUUGUCUCCUAUUUUAAGGAAACUUACACAGAUCCACAAGGGGAAUUGUACAGGCAUUGUUUCUGGAGAAUAAGAAGAGUCUGCUGGGCUUGUGGUAAAAACCUUCAUACCUGAGACUAUGAUUGAGCAAUGUGCAAAGAGGUAGAUGAAAAACAUAACCUUAGUAUAACGUCUGAAAUUUUGACACAAUG
rnacentral:lncRNA from 1 species